UUACCCAUCGCUUCUCAACCCCUGGUUGAUGCCUGCCUGCCUUUGCAGUUGGCUCGAAGCGGAUCUGGCUUUCCCAAUUGCCUUUUGGUAAUUGGGUCAGCUGAAGCACAGAGGCUUGAGCAAGGACCCUUAUUGGGCUUCAACUGGAUAGGUAGAACUGGUCUUGUGACCAACUACACGAAGUUGUUGCUUGUGGUCUUUGUCUGGAGGCCAGCAGGAAACUCUUAUAC
rnacentral:misc_RNA from 1 species